rnacentral:misc_RNA from 1 species
CAUUUCACAAGCUCGCCAUUCCGAUUCCAUCGAGAUCGACUGAUAAUUCCGCGACCAAGCAAUACUCGAUCCAUUGUUUGCGUACACUUUUCCGAUCAAAUAGCGUAUCGUCACCUGCGAUUCGCGCAAACAAGAUCAAUACCCAAAAACAUUAGCAAACGGUCCGUAGGGCUAAUAAGCGAUGGAACAUCAGUAUCAGCGUGACGCUAUUUACUGCAACAACGACAUUAAACGAUAUUCACGUAUCUGUGGACUUAGCACGACAUUAUUGAUAGCGCCCAACGUUGGCAAACAAUGCAGGUGCGAAGUUUAUUUUAUUCUAAUUGGGUGGAAAUUCAUUUAAGAUUGAAUUUUAGAACAGAAAUAUUUGUUUAGAAAAAGAAAAAAGAUAUUUGUACAAGAAACAUAUACGUACGAGAAAGUCGUGGAGGAUUUUCAAAAUAGGGGAUCAUGAUCUAUAAUAUAAAUUAAUAGAUUUAUACUUGUAAAAUGAAGAACGUUAUAGAUUAAGGAAUCUUUUAAUUUUUUACCAUCGAAUUAUUUUCUCUAAUUCUUUAGACUUUAUCAUUCAAGUCU